GCCUUGCUCGUAUAGUGGUUAGUACUCUGCAUUGUGGCCGCAGCAACCCCGAUUCGAAUCCGGGUCAUGGCA
rnacentral:tRNA from 1 species